ensembl:lncRNA
GUGGGAGGGAGUGUCCUUUGACCUCUGCUGUGCCAGAGUGUGUACGGUACUGGAGAAGGGGUUGUAAGAGAAUUGGUUGUGAGCAAGUUUUGGAGCUUUAUUUUGAUUUAGUUCAUUCAGGAAAGGGAAUUGACAUUCAAUUAAUGAGAGGAAAAUUCAACAUUAACUGAAUUUCACACCUUUCACACCAAUGGAAUGGAGCCCAACCCUGGUUGUGAGCUGGAACAAAGGCUGAAUUAAUUACCAAGUGUGCACUGGAACUCCCAAGGUAGGGCUUUGUACAUCCCUCCACCGUGUCGGUCAAUCUCUUCUCUCCCUUUUCCUCGCAGCAGACUGUCCCUCUUUCUCUUACGUUUCUCACUCCCUCCAUUCCCCGUGCCUUCUUUUUUUGAAUGUUCCCUCUUUCUCUUCCUCCCCCGAUCCCACCCACCGUCUCUCUGUACAAUGCCCUUGCUCUUUACUGCUCUCUGUAUUCUCUUGGCUUUUCCUCCCAUACCAGUUGCCCCACUCCCUCCCUCCCUCCCUCUCUUUCCCCAUCUCUUUCUCUCCCUCUUUGGGUUUACUUCCGUACAGAACAGAGAUGGAGGGCUGCUGGAGUUGAUUUCAUUCUGCCUUUCAAUAAUCAACUGAAAGGAAACAAAUGGAAACAAACAGAAACAAGGGAGAUACACGCA